rnacentral:rRNA from 1 species
GGAGUUGCAUAGACAACUAGGAUGUUGGCUCAGAAGCAGCCACCAUUUAAAGAGUGCGUAAUAGCUCACUAGUCGAGUGAUCCUGCGCCGAAAAUGUACCGGGGCUAAGCAUACUACCGAAACCAUGGAUGCGACCAUUAGGUCGCGUGAUAGGAGAGCGUUCUAAGGGCGGUGAAGCAAGAUCGUGAGGACUUGUGGAGCGCUUAGAAGUGAGAAUGCCGGUAUGAGUAGCGAAAGAUAGGUGAGAAUCCUAUCCACCGAAUGACUAAGGUUUCCUGGGGAAGGCUCGUCCUCCCAGGGUUAGUCGGGACCUAAGUCGAGGCCGAGAGGCGUAGACGAUGGAUAACAGGUUGAGAUUCCUGUACUAGUUAAGUGCGUUUGAGCAAUGGAGGGACGCAGGAGGCUAAGAUGUGCAUUCUGUUGGAUUAGAAUGUCCAAGCAGUAAGUCUUGUGAAGAGUCAAAUGCUUUUCACUUUAAGGACAAGCUGUGAUGGGGAGCGAAAUUUAGUAGCGAAGCGUCUGAUGUCACACUGCCGAGAAAAGCUUCUAGUGAGUACUUAACUACCCGUACCGCAAACCGACACAGGUAGUCGAGGAGAGAAUCCUAAGGUGAGCGAGUGAACUCUCGUUAAGGAACUCGGCAAAAUGACCCCGUAACUUCGGGAGAAGGGGUGCUGAUCGCAAGAUCAGCCGCAGUGAAUAGGCCCAGGCGACUGUUUAUCAAAAACACAGGUCUCUGCAAAAUCGUAAGAUGACGUAUAGGGGCUGACGCCUGCCCGGUGCUGGAAGGUUAAAAGGAUGGGUUAGCUUCGGCGAAGCUCAGAAUUGAAGCCCCAGUAAACGGCGGCCGUAACUAUAACGGUCCUAAGGUAGCGAAAUUCCUUGUCGGGUAAGUUCCGACCCGCACGAAAGGCGUAACGAUCUGGGCACUGUCUCAACGAGAGACUCGGUGAAAUUAUAUUGUCCGUGAAGAUGCGGACUACCCGCGACAGGACGGAAAGACCCCAUGGAGCUUUACUGUAGCUUGAUAUUGAGUGUUUGUACAGCUUGUACAGGAUAGGUAGGAGCCAUAGAAACCGGAACGCUAGUUUCGGUGGAGGCGUUGGUGGGAUACUACCCUCGCUGUAUGACCACUCUAACCCGCACCACUAAUCGUGGUGGGAGACAGUGUCAGGUGGGCAGUUUGACUGGGGCGGUCGCCUCCUAAAAAGUAACGGAGGCGCCCAAAGGUUCCCUCAGAAUGGUUGGAAAUCAUUCGCAGAGUGUAAAGGCACAAGGGAGCUUGACUGCGAGACAGACAGGUCGAGCAGGGACGAAAGUCGGGCUUAGUGAUCCGGUGGUACCGUAUGGAAGGGCCAUCGCUCAACGGAUAAAAGCUACCCUGGGGAUAACAGGCUUAUCUCCCCCAAGAGUCCACAUCGACGGGG